GAUGAACGCUGGCGGCGUGCCUAAUACAUGCAAGUCGAGCGAACAGACGAGGAGCUUGCUCCUCUGACGUUAGCGGCGGACGGGUGAGUAACACGUGGAUAACCUACCUAUAAUACUGGGAUAACUUCGGGAAACCGGAGCUAAUACCGGAUAAUAUAUUGAACCGCAUGGUUCAAUAGUGAAAGACGGUUUUGCUGUCACUUAUAGAUGGAUCCGCGCCGCAUUAGCUAGUUGGUAAGGUAACGGCUUACCAAGGCAACGAUGCGUAGCCGACCUGAGAGGGUGGUCGGCCACACUGGAGCUGAGACGCGGUCCAGACUCCUACGGGAGGCAGCAGUAGGGAAUGUUCCGCAAGGGGCGAAAGCCUGACGGAGCAACGCCGCGUGAGUGAUGAAGGUCUUCGGAUCGUAAAACUCUGUUAUUAGGGAAGAACAAAUAUGUAAGUAACUAUGCACGUCUUGACGGUACCUAAUCAGAAAGCCACGGCUAACUACGUG
rnacentral:rRNA from 1 species